GAUGGUGUAGCGCAAUGGUAGCGCGCCUGCUCUGCAGGAGGUCUGGGUUCGAUUCCCAGCACCAUCC
rfam:Aphanomyces invadans strain NJM9701 unplaced genomic scaffold supercont1.236, whole genome shotgun sequence.